UACGGCCAUACCAUGUUGGCAACACCAGUUCUCGUCUGAUCACUGAAGUUAAGUAACAUUGGGCCACGAUAGUACCACGAUCGGAGACGGCGCGGGAACACCUGGUGCUGUAGU
rnacentral:rRNA from 1 species